rnacentral:rRNA from 1 species
UACAGAGGUCUCAAGCGUUGUUCGGAUUCAUUGGGCGUAAAGGGUGCGUAGGCGGCGCGGUAAGUCGGGUGUGAAAUCUUGGAGCUUAACUCCGAAACUGCAUUCGAUACUGCCGUGCUUGAGGACUGGAAAGGAGACUGGAAUUUACGGUGUAGCGGUGAAAUGCGUAGAUAUCAAGAGGAACACCUGAGGUGAAGACGGGUUGCUGGGCUGACACUGACGCUGAGGCGCGAAAGCAUGGGUAGCGAACGGG